rnacentral:rRNA from 1 species
GAUGAACGCUGGCGGCGUGCCUAAUACAUGCAAGUCGAGCGAACGGACGAGAAGCUUGCUUUUCUGAUGUUAGCGGCGGACGGGUGAGUAACACGUGGAUAACCUACCUAUAAGACUGGGAUAACUUCGGGAAGCCGGAACUAAUACCGGAUAAUAUUUUGAACCGCAUGGUUCAAAAGUGAAAGACGGUCUUGCUGUCACUUAUAGAUGGAUCCGCGCUGCAUUAGCUAGUUGGUAAGGUAACGGCUUACCAAGGCAACGAUGCAUAGCCGACCUGAGAGGGUGAUCGGCCACACUGGAACUGAGACACGGUCCAGACUCCUACGGGAGGCAGCAGUAGGGAAUCUUCCGCAAUGGGCGAAAGCCUGACGGAGCAACGCCGCGUGAGUGAUGAAGGUCUUCGGAUCGUAAAACUCUGUUAUUAGGGAAGAACAUAUGUGUAAGUAACUGUGCACAUCUUGACGGUACCUAAUCAGAAAGCCACGGCUAACUACGUG